rnacentral:rRNA from 1 species
GACGAACGCUGGCGGCGUGCUUAACACAUGCAAGUCGAACGGAAAGGCCCUGCUUUUGUGGGGUGCUCGAGUGGCGAACGGGUGAGUAACACGUGAGUAACCUGCCCUUGACUUUGGGAUAGCUUCAGGAAACUGGGGCUAAUACCGGAUAGGAGCUCCUGCUGCAUGGUGGGGGUUGGAAAGUUUCGGCGGUUGGGGAUGGACUCGCGGCUUAUCAGCUUGUUGGUGGGGUAGGGGCUUACCAAGGCUUUGACGGGUAGCCGGCCUGAGAGGGUGACCGGCCACAUUGCGCCUGAGGUACGGCCCAGACGCGUACGUUAGGCAGCAGGGGGGAAUAUUGCACAAUGGGAGGAAGCCUGUUGCAGCAACGCCGCGUUCGGGAUGACGGCUUUCUGGUUGUAAACCGCUUUCGCUUGUGACGAAGCGUGAGUGACGGUAAUGGAUGAAGAAGCACCGGCUAACUUCGUG